rnacentral:rRNA from 1 species
CAGUCGCCGCGGUAAUACGUAGGGCGCAAGCGUUAUCCGGAAUUAUUGGGCGUAAAGAGCUCGUAGGCGGUUUGUCGCGUCUGCCGUGAAAGUCCGGGGCUCAACCCCGGAUCUGCGGUGGGUACGGGCAGACUAGAGUGAUGUAGGGGAGACUGGAAUUCCUGGUGUAGCGGUGAAAUGCGCAGAUAUCAGGAGGAACACCGAUGGCGAAGGCAGGUCUCUGGGCAUUAACUGACGCUGAGGAGCGAAAGCAUGGGGAGCGAACAGGAUUAGAUACCCCGGUAGUCCCUGUCUCUUAUAC